GACGAACGCUGGCGGCGUGCUUAACACAUGCAAGUCGAACGGAAAGGCCCCUUUGGGGGUACUCGAGUGGCGGACGGGUGCGUAACACGUGAGUAACCUGCCCUUGACUUCGGGAUAACUUCAGGAAACUGGGGCUAAUACCGGAUAGGAAUCCUUGCUGCAUGGUGGGGGUUGGAAAGCUUCGGCGGUUUUGGAUGGACUCGCGGCUUAUCAGCUUGUUGGUGGGGUAGUGGCUUACCAAGGCUUUGACGGGUAGCCGGCCUGAGAGGGCGACCGGCCACAUUGGGACUGAGAUACGGCCCAGACUCCUACGGGAGGCAGCAGUGGGGAAUAUUGCACAAUGGGCGGAAGCCUGAUGCAGCAACGCCGCGUGCGGGAUGACGGCCUUCGGGUUGUAAACCGCUUUCAGCAGGGGCGAAGCUUUUGUGACGGUACCUGCAGAAGAAGCACCGGCUAACUACGUG
rnacentral:rRNA from 1 species